AGUUGCUCGGCGGGCGCCAUCUUUCUCGCGGCGCGGGCGGCGCCCUCCGAGGACAUCUCGAUGACCAGGGCGCCGCGAGGCCCGGGGCUAGCGGGAGCCGAGAGCAGGGUGCUGAAUUCUGGAGAUGGGACUGGGGUCGCGCGGCCUUCUCCUUCCCCACGCCCCCAGACCCAAAAGACGAGGCCGCCGGCUCGGAGCGGGAAGGGCUGGGGCCAGCUUCUUCCUCCUAACCACUUGUUUGUGAUGGAAGAAGGGGGCUGGGGGUCGAGCCUCGCGGCUGAUGGGUUCCCUCCCUGACCCCGCACCCCCACUCCUCCCAGUCGAAAUUGGAGGUGAGGCGCUCCUGCCAUUUUCUCUCCUGCGGUCUGAGAGUGGACGUCUUUGUCUUCUCUGGCCCGGCGUGGGGGCAGGGCAUUGAGCCUUUUCCUUAAUUCUUCAGUUAUUGAAAGUAGAGUCCAACCAGGUUACAAAACUAAAAAAAAGAGUCCAGGACAUUGUCUGUCUGCCUUCCGGUAGCAUGGUUCUCUGUGGGUACCCUACGCUUCGUUUCUUAGUUUUACUCUAAAACAACCCUGAGGAGACAUUUACUAGUUGUCAGAUUACGGGAAGGUGAUGGGUUCCAGUUUUUUGAAACUUUUUUUGUUGGCUUUCAUAUUACUUCAAAUGGCAGUGAAUUAAAACAGUUUCUUAGAACUCUAAUCUGAAAAGUUAAAUACGCUUUAAAACAGUCUGAAACUCUUCUAAAAAGCAAAACUGCAUUAUUAAAAGCAUCCAUGUAAGUAUCUGUUGGUAGUAUCUAUUAGAGAUGGGGGAGGGGUUUAACUUUUACAUUAUUAUUGAAAAGAGGAGGGGAAAGGUCUAUAAAGCUCUGAUCUCUCUAGAAGUCCACAUACAUGGAAAGUAAAUAGUUAAUUUCUAGUGUAGAAAAAUAACACCGUGGUGCCAGUAGGUGUGUCCUUGUGUUUAUAAAUAUACAUAGUGGAUGUUUUAGACCAUUUAAUGAGACCUAUUAUAUAUUGAAUACCUGCUGUAUGCCAGGAACUGUGCCUGAUGCUUUGUAUAAUUUCUAUUAUAUCAGCCCAGAAAUAGUGAUUUUAUGAUCUGUCUACCGGGGAAUGAACUAACGUUCAUAGAAGUAUAGUAAUUGUUCGAGGUCUUGCAGUUUUAAGUAGUAAAGUUGCCAUUGGAUCACAAAAGCUGUAUUCUUCCCCCUACACCUAUGGUUUCCAAAUGUGAGCAUCAGAAUUAAUUUGGGAGAUGUUUUUAAAUAGAGAUUUGUAACAUCACCUCUUCCACCAUCAUUUGCUAGGGCCAACUGGGUCUUUUAAUAAUGUGUCAGGCACUCCAACUUCUUGAUGUUCAAUAUUGACAUUCUGGCCCACCCUGCACCCGCUAUAUCCAAAGAUCUAGUAUUCCAAAGCUCUCCAGGUGAUUCCAGUGACACAGACACACGUUUGGACUGUCUUGUACUAUGCUAUGCACUGUUCUGCUCUUUUUUGAAUUGGAACAUGAGAAUUGAGGUCCAUGUAAUUUUGAGUUUCAGUAGUUUUUUGCUCACAUUAGUCUCAUUUUUGUUUUUCCUCUUGUAGCUGCCAUUUAUCAAAUCGAAAUUAUUUCCUCAGAGAAAAAGGUUUAGGUAUCCUAAGACUUUAAAAUCUCAGUACGUUUUUUUUUAAAGUAUGUUGUCUCAUUCUAUUGAGAAGUUAUACAACAUACAGGCUUCUAGGUCUAGCCAGGCCAUCUAGUUUAGUCAAGACAGCUGUGUAACAAACGUAGCCUUGAGGCCUGGCACGGUGGCUCAUGCCUGUAAUCCCAGCACUUUUGAGGCUGAGGCGGUCUUCCCACCUUUCCCUCCCAAAGUGCUGGGAUUACAGGCGUGAGCCACUGCAUCCUGCCGAGAAAAUCAUUUUUUAUUUAAAUAAUGUCAAAUGGAAGUAUGUAGCACCCCCCCCCCACCUUCUUUUCCCCUUUCUUUCCUCUUUGAGUCUGCUGUCAUUCCCUUUUUCAUGAGUUUUCUCUGCUCCCCAAAUAGGCUAAACAAUAACCGUAAAGUGAGAUUAGAGAAAAUAAGAAUGGAGUAGAUGAUGGAAUUCAAAAUAGCUGUCUACAUUCUUCACUGAGAAAGAUAGCUUUGAGUUAAAGGUGAGAGGAGCAAAUCUGGGGAAAAACGGGUGAAACGGCAUGAUUUAAGUAGCAUACCAGAUGCGUUUCUGCAUGGCAUGGCUCUUGCUUGAUGAAUAAUGUUCUGUAUAGUAGAAGAGGAAAAUACAGUGAGUGAAGGAGCUGGCAGAAGGUGGGCUGGGGGAGUUGGGGAAGAGUGAAAUGAGUAUGGAGAGGUGAGAGAGCUGACUGCAAAGGCAUGUGGGGUGUGGAUUUUAAAAGGAAAGCCCUGAGGUGGAAAUCACUAACAUGGUGCCUGGCUACAAGCAGAGGGAGCUCAGGACUUGACUGUGCUGGGGGUGGCCUGCCCUUUUGUAGUGCAGUUGAGGAGAGCUCAGGGGCUGUCAGAAUGCUGUGUGGGAAGGUGGAGGAUGAAAGAGGACCUGGGAGCAGCAACUUUGUUCUGGUUUGUUGUUUUCUCUUCCCUACCUCGUAUGUACUCCCACUCAGGAAAAGAUCCUGAGACCUCUCUGUACCAGAUCCUCUUAUACCCAGGUUCUCCUUAAUCCCAAUCAACUUUAAUCUAUAAAGUUACGAUUUGUUUACUUAUAAAUUUAUUUUUAAUAAAGUUGUGAAACCGAACA